GAUGAACGCUAGCGGCAGGCCUAAUACAUGCAAGUCGAGCGGCAAGUCGAGGAGUAAUCUAAGACCUAGAGCGGCGCACGGGUGCGUAACGCGUAUGCAACCUACCUUAUACUGGGGGAUAGCCCGGAGAAAUCUGGAUUAAUACCCCAUGGCACAUAUUGAUGGCAUCUGAGAUAUGUUAAAGAUUUAUUGGUAUAAGAUGGGCAUGCGUCUGAUUAGCUAGUUGGCGGUGUAACGGACCACCAAGGCGACGAUCCGUAACUGGUCUGAGAGGAUGAUCAGUCACACUGGAACUGAGACACGGUCCAGACUCCUACGGGAGGCAGCAGUGGGGAAUAUUGGACAAUGGGCGAAAGCCUGAUCCAGCCAUGCCGCGUGCAGGAUGAAGGCC
rnacentral:rRNA from 1 species